rnacentral:lncRNA from 1 species
AGCAACCGCAACACUGAAGUGCAGACCUUGGGCAACAUGAGUGGCCAGUGAAUCACAGAGAACACAAAGGACAAGGUUUUUAUAACAUGUCAGCUAGCCCCUGAUAGCUACCAUGUGGUGAUAACGACUAUUCAGUCCAAGCCCUAAAUGAGAUGGAGAAAGUGCACGUGUAAAGAAGGAACGCAUCUCUGCAGUGAUGUUCCUAUUCCUACAAUUUCUGCAGUUCCUGGAAAAAGAAUGAAUUCAGAGGCCUGGACUGUUAACACUGAACUUACUGAUGUGGAUGUUGUGGAGAGCCUAGUGGUGCAAAUCACAUAUGUCUAUAAAGAAGGAAAAUUGAUUGUGUCACAGCAAAUGAGCUGCUGCUGGUCUGAUCAGCCUCAUGAAGUCAAGGACUCCUGGUACACUGCUGCUGGCAAAUCAAUGAACAUUACUCCCCAGAUGCCCUUACAGGCUGAGCUGCCAGGGGACCAGUUGUUAGUUGUGUGCAUGUAAUAGGACUCCACUGAAGCCAUGCAGCACUUUCCAUUCUCCGCAGCAGCAUUAUGCACAUGCUCUACUGGCUCAGCUAAUCCCUGUGUUUCUCGAGAAUGGAGGUCACCUCCUGGGAGAGGACUGAAGGGAGAUUCUUCCUCCUCUGUGGAGAUGCCAAAUACAGCAACACAUGGAGCCAGUUGGUGUGAGUUCAUGAAUAAAGUGUGACACGUGAAAUAAAAGAUCUAUGUA